CUUGUGAUUAAUGCUUUUGACAGCUAAUGGAGGUUCGCCUCCGGAGAAAAACGCUCAAAACGAGCACAAUCAGAUUCCUGAUUUUGCAUACUCGCCUAAUCCUCACUAAAAAGAGAGAACAGAGAGAUAGCAACUUUGAAGUGGAGAGACUUGCUUCGGCAAGAAGAUGGCUUCAAGAGAACUACAAAGAGGCUGAAAAUGCCAAAAGAUAAAGAACGAUCCAGGUGAUGGACAUCCAUGAGAUCCCUAGAGCCCAAGAAUGCCUUCUUUGCAAAGAACAAAGGUGGCGGCGGUUCUCAGGGUAGGCACUGGUAAUGCAAUAUUGUUGGGUGCAAAUGGCAAAUUACGUGUAUUAAAAAAACAAAACAAAAGAAAAACAUAAUUAAUCUGGUUAAUCGUUAUCUAUCUAAUGUUUUGCCUUCCAAUAACCUUUUCUUUGAUGAUUUUUUUACAUGGGAAAAAGAUAAAUAUUUUUUUAUGGGGGAUAGGUAAGGUAC